rnacentral:rRNA from 1 species
AACCGAGAACUCCUACGGGAGGCAGCAGUGGGGAAUCUUGCGCAAUGGGCGAAAGCCUGACGCAGCAACGCCGCGUGCGGGAUGAAGGCCUUCGGGUUGUAAACCGCUUUCAGCAGGGAAGAAAUUGACGGUACCUGCAGAAGAAGCCCCGGCCAACUACGUGCCAGCAGCCGCGGUAACACGUAGGGGGCGAGCGUUGUCCGGAUUUAUUGGGCGUAAGGAGCUCGUAGGCGGUUCACUAAGUCGGGUGUGAAACCUCCAGGCUCAACCUGGAGACGCCACCUGAUACUGGUGUGACUAGAGUCCGGUAGGGGAGUGUGGAACUCCUGGUGUAGCGGUGAAAUGCGCAGAUAUCAGGAAGAACACCAGCGGCGAAGGCGGCACUCUGGGCCGGUACUGACGCUGAGGAGCGAAAGCGUGGGUAGCAAACAGGAUUAGAUACCCGUGUAGUCCGACUGAGA